rnacentral:rRNA from 1 species
AUUGAACGCUGGCGGCAGGCCUAACACAUGCAAGUCGAGCGGAGCGGCGGACGGGUGAGUAAUGCCUAGGAAUCUGCCUGGUAGUGGGGGAUAACGUCCGGAAACGGGCGCUAAUACCGCAUACUAUCAGAUGAGCCUAGGUCGGAUUGGAUAGUUGGUGGGGUAAAGGCCUACCAAGGCGACGAUCCGUAACUGGUCUGAGAGGAUGAUCAGUAAACCUGGAACGGGAACAGGGUCCAAACUCCUAGGGGAGGAAGCAGGGGGGAAUAUUGGCAAAUGGGCGAAAGCCUGAUCCAGCCAUGCCGCGUGUGUGAAGAAGGUCUUCGGAUUGUAAAGCACUUUAAGUUGGGAGGCGUUUCCAACAGAAUAAGCACCGGCUAACUUCGUGCCAGCAGCGCGGUAAUUC